rnacentral:rRNA from 1 species
GGGGCGUGUGGUGGAUGCACAUGCAGUCGAGCGGGGAAGGGUAGCUUGCUACCUGACCUAGCGGCGGACGGGUGAGUAAUGCUUAGGAAUCUGCCUAUUAGUGGGGGACAACAUUCCGAAAGGAAUGCUAAUACCGCAUACGCCCUACGGGGGAAAGCAGGGGAUCUUCGGACCUUGCGCUAAUAGAUGAGCCUAAGUCAGAUUAGCUAGUUGGUGGGGUAAAGGCCUACCAAGGCGACGAUCUGUAGCGGGUCUGAGAGGAUGAUCCGCCACACUGGGACUGAGACACGGCCCAGACUCCUACGGGAGGCAGCAGUGGGGAAUAUUGGACAAUGGGCGAAAGCCUGAUCCAGCCAUGCCGCGUGUGUGAAGAAGGCCUUUUGGUUGUAAAGCACUUUAAGCGAGGAGGAGGCUACCGAGAUUAAUACCCUUGGAUAGUGGACGUUACUCGCAGAAUAAGCACCGGCUAACUCUGUGCCAGCAGCCGCGGUAAUACAGAGGGUGCGAGCGUUAAUCGGAUUUACUGGGCGUAAAGCGUGCGUAGGCGGCUUUUUAAGUCGGAUGUGAAAUCCCUGAGCUUAACUUAGGAAUUGCAUUCGAUACUGGGAAGCUAGAGUAUGGGAGAGGAUGGUAGAAUUCCAGGUGUAGCGGUGAAAUGCGUAGAGAUCUGGAGGAAUACCGAUGGCGAAGGCAGCCAUCUGGCCUAAUACUGACGCUGAGGUACGAAAGCAUGGGGAGCAAACAGGAUUAGAUACCCUGGUAGUCCAUGCCGUAAACGAUGUCUACUAGCCGUUGGGGCC